CCUACGGGUGGCAGCAGUGGGGAAUAUUGCACAAUGGGGGAAACCCUGAUGCAGCGACGCCGCGUGAGUGAAGAAGGAUUUCGGUAUGUAAAGCUCUAUCAGCAGGGAAGAGAAUGACGGUACCUGAGUAAGAAGCCCAGGCUAACUACGUGCCAGGAGCCGCGGUAAUACGUAGGGGGCAAGCGUGAUCCGGAUUUACGGGGUGUAAAGGGAGCGGAGACGGCGAAGAAAGACUGAAGUGAAAGCCCGCGGCUCAACCGCGGAACUGCUUUGGAAACUUUUUUGCUGGAGUACCGGAGAGGUGAGCGGAAUGCCUAGUGUAGCGGUGAAAUGCGUAGAUAUUAGGAGGAACACCAGUGGCGAAGGCGGCUUCCUGGACGGUAACUGACGUUGAGGCUCGAAAGCGUGGGGAGCAAACAGGAUUAGAUACCCUUGUAGUC
rnacentral:rRNA from 1 species